UCUCUGCCUGGGACAAAGUUUUGCUAAGCCGAGCUCGCACGCUUCGAAAGGGUAAAAACCUCCCUGGAGGAACUCAGGUGGAGCUGAGUUUGAAGCCAAUUCCCCCUUGUCCUCGAGUGAAAACCCUGGACACACAGAGGGCAGUGAAGUUUGGGGAUUUUUCCAAGGGGAAUCAAUUUCUAAGCAAGGCCGUUCCUGUAAUGAAAACGGAGCUUUCUCAUCCAAAAAGGAAAAAAAAAGGGCACAGCUAAUGCCUGACCCCUGAUGUCACCGGGGGGGAGCAGCACCCCACCAAAACUGCAGUUUUCACUGGCUCCCAGCGAGGAACCAUCAGGAAGAAUAGCUGGAAAAGCACGGCUCAACUUGAGGUAUUUAUAAUUCAUCUCUCCGCUAACCUCAGAAUGCACCUUCUGUCUGCAAGACACAUCUCCCCUUCUAUUGCUUUUUUUUUUUUAUGCCUAAUAAAGAUUUUCCUGAGUUCAUGCCUAAGAAACCUGGUGGCAGACUCGACUAAAGAGGAGGAUUUUGAUUCCUCUGCCAACAUUUUUUUGCUCCAGCUUUUGGAGGAGAACAGGGAGCUGCCUGCUGCAGUUUGCAUGGGUUUCCUCUGCUAGAAAGUGCAGCCCUCCCUACUCAAACAUGUCACCAGAACCAAGCCUUCAUGAACAUGAGAUACUUCAUCAUCCUGAAAAUAUUUGUGGUUGCAGUAAAUGUUUUCUCACCCAGUAUUAGCAAGUCAAAUUAUUUUCUGCUCUAUGAUUAGCCUCUUUUGCACUUAAGGAACAGGAAUUCCAACUGAGUUGAAGAGCAAAACUGGGUUUAUUGGAGCACGACCUGUGAAAAUUUCCAGAGGAUACAAGUAAAGUAUAAAGAUACCUCGCUACUGUACACUGAUAAUUUAAUUUCUUCUGUGGGACAAUCAGGGAAGUUCUGAUUAAAUUUUGAUUUACUCUUAAGCUGAUCCCACGUCUGACUGACCUCAUGUUUCAAGAGGAAUCAUCAAACACAGGUAUCUAAUUCUGAUGCGGAAAUACCCAAUUAUCUGAAAUGACUGAGCACUUUUUAUGCUCACGGAUUGCAAAGAGCUUCUUUGACUUCUUCACUGGGAACAUUUACAGAACAUCCCAGCAACUGGUUUCUCUUGGGCAGGCAGUGCCUGAUCACCAGCACAAUCUUGAGUUUUGCUGACCUCUGUAAUUCAGCAUUUGUGUGAAACCCAGGUAUUUUUAUUUCCUAAGCAAGGGGAAGAACGACAGGCAUCCACUGAACUCACACUUUGCCCCAGAACCUCAGGCCUGAGGGAAAUAUUGGAGCAGAAGAGUAGAAAAUACGAAUAUUCCCCGAGAAUUUUGACUUUGUAGCUAAGAAUGGAACCACACAGGCACAGACCAACGGGUGCUUUUUUCCUUAGGGAUUAACCGGGUCUUGGAAGGAGGUUUUACAUCAUUAUCCAAACUUUGCAGCUCAUUCCUGGCUGUGAGUUUAGAAUCACACAAGUAUUAAAACCUCA